GGUCAAUAGUGGUUCUUCUUUCAUCACUCUUGUCAAAUACAAGAAAAAGUUUAAGCCUUGUAACAAGAAAAAGUAGUUCAUAAGACAAAUUAUUGAAUUGUCAAGGAUUCAAAACGUACGUAUGGAUGUAAGCACGCAUGUCUUUGGUAAAAUCUCUUAAAAGCAUUUUGAUAUUGUUUUGGUAUGGUUAUACUAAGUAACAAAAUUUCAUAUUUAUUUUCUUUAGGUAAGUAAAGUUCUUAAAACGUUAUGGAAGUUCUUUAUAGAAGUUUUAUUUUUGGAUGAUACAUAUAUGCCUAAGUCCUUCUCCA
rnacentral:lncRNA from 1 species